rnacentral:lncRNA from 1 species
UACCCUCCCCAGACCCCACUUUGUGGGACUAUACUGGGUAGUUGUUGUUGUUGUUGUUGAUUCCUAGACUUUACACUAGAGGGGAUAUUUCCCUAGAAGUAUUGAAAAGCCUACUGUGCAGAUGUUUUUACCACAGGCUACUAGGAUUAUUUAUCUUGGAAAAUUGGUCUCUCGGAAACCAAAGGGAUUGACAUAAUGAGAGAUGUUUGCAUUAAAGUUAAUGCUUCUUAACUGGUGCAUCAAAGAAUAUUAAAUACAUUAUAUCAAAAAAAAUCAAAAGGCUUUGUUAUCGUCCUCUAAUAACACAGUUGGAGCAACCAUCCACCACAGGCCUCCCUCCCAAAAGUAAGGGUACAGAAAAACAAAGAGAAUAGAAGAUAGAAAGUUUAAAGAUAGUGCUUCAUCAUAGAAAGUUUAAAGAUAGUUGCUUCAUCACACAUAUCGCAGACACAUACGACAAAGCAGCAACAUAUGCUGAACUGGGCCCCUGCUUAAGAACAUUGCAGACCAGGGACUUGUAAUAUCCAGAACCAUCUUAGCGCACUCACUUUCCAACUUACCGCCUUUUCUCUUUUAUUUUUCUUUCUUUUUUUUUCCUUACUACCAACUUACAAUCUAUCUGAGCAAUCACUUUCUAGCUCCGAGUUUUCUUACCAUCAUAUAAUGCAAACUUUACCUUCCUGUUCAGCACCAUCUUAGUGUUUUACUGCUCUUACUUUUUUUAAUCCUUGCAUGUAAUCCUAGCGCUGUCCCAAAGGGUAGUCUUAGCAGCGCUGGUGGGUGGCUUAGAAAUUAGAUAUCUAGAAAAAACCAAAGUGGUAGUUCUUGACUGCUCUUACUUGAAAACACUUACUUCUCCCCCAAAAAAGAACAAGGAAUACAUACUUAGCCAGAGAUCUUGCAACAAAAGAAAAAAGAUAAAUGGAAAUAUUCCUCUUCUGACCUGUCCCCUUAUGAGCAUUUCAGAUUUCUUCAAUUUCUUCAUAGCAUAAAUAUUGCCUGAUUUCUUCUCCCUGCAUAAACGAACCU